rnacentral:misc_RNA from 1 species
GAUGAAGAACGCAGCGAAAUGCGAUAAGUAAUGUGAAUUGCAGAAUUCAGUGAAUCAUCGAAUCUUUGAACGCACAUUGCGCCCCUUGGUAUUCCGAGGGGCAUGCCUGUUCGAGCGUCAUUAUAACCCUCAAGCUCAGCUUGGUGUUGGGGCCUGCUGCACUGGCAGCCCUUAAAAUCAGUGGCGGCGCCAUCUGGCUCUAAGCGUAGUAAUUCUUCUCGCUAUGGAGUCCUGGUGGAUGCUUACCAUCAACCCCCAAUUUUUCUAUGGUUGACCUCGGAUCAGGUAGGGAUACCCGCUGAACUUAAGCAUAUCAAUAAGCGGAGGA